rnacentral:rRNA from 1 species
AGCAGCCGCGGUAAUUCCAGCUCCAAUAGCGUAUAUUAAAGUUGUUGCAGUUAAAAAGCUCGUAGUUGAAUUUCGGGGUUAGUAGGUUGGUCAUGCCUCUGGUAUGUACUGGUCUCACUGAUUCCUCCUUCCUGAUGAACCUUAAUGCCAUUAAUUUGGUGUUUGGGAAUUUGGACUGUUACUUUGAAAAAUUAGAGUGUUUAAAGCAAGCUAACGCUUGAAUACAUUAGCAUGGAAUAAUGAAAUAGGACGUUCGAUCCUAUUUUGUUGGUUUCUAGGAUUGACGUAAUGAUUAAUAGGGAUAGUUGGGGGCAUUAGUAUUCAAUUGUCAGAGGUGAAAUUCUUGGAUUUAUUGAAGACUAACUACUGCGAAAGCAUUUGCCAAGGAUGUUUUCUAUUAAUCAAGAACGAAAGUUAGGGGAGUCGAAGACGAUCAGAUACCGUCGUAGU